AAUGAAGCUUCUCUGAGCACUUGCAGCCUGCCAGUGUGAAGGACUGUGCACCGUGCAGCUGGAGCUCACAGGACAACAGUUUGCGGUUGUCUGCAUUAGAGGAAGUGAAGAUUAAUGGCCUGCAGGUGGAAUGGCCGCAUUUCAGCACCGACUUCCCAGAAUUCCCCCAGAGGAUCCUCUGACAGCACUUCAAUUCCCCCAGCGAGCCUAACUUAAGGUGUUCCGGCGAAGUCCCAUCUGCGGCUGAUGAAGAUGUUUCACCUGAGAUAAUUACGAGCUCCAGCACUGCAGUCCUGUCCACGAAAGCCGGAUUCACAGGUGUGUUCGACUCGACGAUCGUGAUCAGAAUGCACAUUAUGAUCUCGC